GGUCCGGUGGUGUAGUUGGCCAUCACGUUAGUCUAACAUUUAAAAACAACUCGAUUUCGAGUUGAUAAUGUGAGCACUAAAGGUCCCCGGUUCAAGCCCGGGCCAGAUCA